CUAACUUUAGUUUAUAUUUAGAAUGAGGGUUUUGGGGAUCCUUGGGCUCGUUAGAGAAGUUCGA
rnacentral:tRNA from 1 species